GGGUAGCCGGCCUGAGAGGGCGACCGGCCACACUGGGACUGAGACACGGCCCAGACUCCUACGGGAGGCAGCAGUGGGGAAUAUUGCGCAAUGGGCGAAGGCCUGACGCAGCGACGCCGCGUGAGGGAUGAAGGCCUUCGGGUUGUAAACCUCUUUCAGCAGGGACGAAGCGAAAGUGACGGUACCUGCAGAAGAAGCACCGGCCAACUACGUGCCAGCAGCCGCGGUAAUACGUAGGGUGCAAGCGUUGUCCGGAAUUAUUGGGCGUAAAGAGCUCGUAGGCGGUCUGUCGCGUCGGCUGUGAAAACUCGGGGCUCAACCCCGAGCCUGCACUCGAUACGGGCAGACUAGAGUGCUGUAGGGGAGACUGGAAUUCCUGGUGUAGCGGUGAAAUGCGCAGAUAUCAAGAGGAACACCGGUGGCGAAGGCGGGUCUCUGGGCAGUAACUGACGCUGAGGAGCGAAAGCGUGGGGAGCGAAUAGGAUUAGAUACCCAGGUAGUCCACGCCGUAAACGGUGGGUGCUAGGUGUAGGCGGUAUUCCACGCCGUCUGUGCCGCAGCUAACGCAUUAAGCACCCCGCCUGGGGAGUACGGCCGCAAGGCUAAAACUCAAAGGAAUUGACGGGGGCCCGCACAAGCAGCGGAGCAUGGGCUUAAUUCGACGCAACGCGAAGAACCUUACCAAGGCUUGACAUGCAGGGAAAUCUCCCAGAGAUGGGAGGUCCGCAAGGGUCCUGCACAGGUGGUGCAUGGUUGUCGUCAGCUCGUGUCGUGAGAUGUUGGGUUAAGUCCCGCAACGAGCGCAACCCUCGUUCUAUGUUGCCAGCGGUUCGGCCGGGGACUCAUAGGAGACUGCCGGGGUCAACUCGGAGGAAGGUGGGGAUGACGUCAAACCAUCAUGCCCCUUAUGUCUUGGGCUGCACACAUGCUACAAUGGCCGGUACAAAGGGCUGCUAAACCGCGAGGUGGAGCGAAUCCAAAAAAGCCGGUCUCAGUUCGGAUUGGGGUCUGCAACUCGACCCCAUGAAGUCGGAGUCGCUAGUAAUCGCAGAUCAG
rnacentral:rRNA from 1 species